rnacentral:rRNA from 1 species
AGUCGAACGAGGUCCAACUGGUGGCAACACCAGUGAAGACCUAGUGGCGAACGGGUGCGGAACACGUGAGCAACCUGCCCCAAAGACUGGGAUAACAGCGGGAAACCGCUGCUAAUACCGGAUACCCCCACGAGCUCGCAUGGGCUUGUGCGGAAAGGAUUCCGCUUUGGGAGGGGCUCGCGGCCUAUCAGCUCGUUGGUGAGGUAAUGGCUCACCAAGGCUACGACGGGUAGCUGGUCUGAGAGGACGAUCAGCCACACUGGGACUGAGACACGGCCCAGACUCCUACGGGAGGCAGCAGUGGGGAAUCUUGCGCAAUGGGCGAAAGCCUGACGCAGCAACGCCGCGUGGGGGAUGAAGGCCUUCGGGUUGUAAACCCCUUUCAGUGGGAACGAAACUGACGGUACCCACAGAAGAAGCCCCGGCCAACUACGUGCCAGCAGCCGCGGUGAUACGUAGGGGGCGAGCGUUGUCCGGAUUUAUUGGGCGUAAAGAGCUCGUAGGCGGCUUGGUAAGUCGGGUGUGAAACCCCCAGGCUCAACCUGGGGACGCCACUCGAUACUGCCAUAGCUAGAGUCCGGUAGGGGACCACGGAAUUCCUGGUGUAGCGGUGAAAUGCGCAGAUAUCAGGAGGAACACCAGUGGCGAAGGCGGUGGUCUGGGCCGGCACUGACGCUGAGGAGCGAAAGCGUG